UGAGAAUAUUGGUCAAUGGGCGAGAGCCUGAACCAGCCAAAUCGCGUGAAGGAAGACUGCCUUAUGGGUUUGUAAACUUCUUUUAUACAGGAAUAAAAAAGGGGACGUGUCCCCUUAUUGCAUGUACUGUAUGAAUAAGCAUCGGCUGAACUCCGUGCCAGCAGCCGCGGUAAUACGGAGGAUGCGAGCGUUAUCCGGAUUUAUUGGGUUUAAAGGGUGCGCAGGCGGGCUUUUAAGUCAGCGGUGAAAUCUCGGGGCUUAACUCCGAAACUGCCGUUGAAACUGGGAGUCUUGAGUAUGGAUGAAGUAGGCGGAAUUCGUUGUGUAGCGGUGACAUGCUUAGAUAUAACGAGGAACUCCGAUUGCGUAGGCAGCUUACUAAGCCAUAACUGACGCUCAAGCACGAAAGCGUGGGGAUCAAACAGGAUUAGAUACCCUGGUAGUCCACGCCGUAAAACGAUGAUUACUAGUUGUAUGCGAUAUACCGUAUGUGACUAAGCGAAAAGCGAUAAGUAAUCCACCUGGGGAGUACGCCGGCAACGGUGAAACUUAAAGGGAAUUGACGGGGUCAUAGCUGUUUCCU
rnacentral:rRNA from 1 species